UCCCUGGUGGUCUAGCAGUUUGGUCUCUGCACUUUCUCUGCAGAGAGCCCAGGUUCAAUUCCUAGUUGGGGAA
rnacentral:tRNA from 1 species